rnacentral:rRNA from 1 species
CCUACGGGAGGCAGCAGUAGGGAAUUUUCCACAAUGGGCGAAAGCCUGAUGGAGCAAUACCGCGUGCAGGAUGAAGGCCUUCGGGUCGUAAACUGCUUUUAUGUGCGAAGAAUUUGACGGUAACACAUGAAUAAGGAUCGGCUAACUACGUGCCAGCAGCCGCGGUCAUACGUAGGAUCCAAGCGUUAUCCGGAAUUACUGGGCGUAAAGAGUUGCGUAGGUGGCAUUAUAAGUGGAGCGUGAAAGCGUGCGGCUCAACCGCAUUAUUGCGUUCCAAACUGUGAAGCUUGAGUAUGGGAGAGGUAGAUGGAAUUUCUAGUGUAGGAGUGAAAUCCGUAGAUAUUAGAAGGAACACCGAUGGCGUAGGCAGUCUACUGGCCCAUUACUGACACUAAGGCACGAAAGCGUGGGAGCAAACGGGAUUAGAUACCCGGUAGUCCACGCUGUAACUAUGGAUGCUAGCUGUGACACACAUCGACCUGUGUCGUAGCGAAGUUAACGCGUUAAGCAUCCCGCUGGGGAUACGGUGCAAGNUUAAAACGUCAAAUGAAUUGACGG